GGAAAGUGCUCACAUACAAAUUAAGAAGUUCAGCUCUGUCUCAGGAGAUGGGGUGUCGGUGUCCCUGGUCGACAAGAACAGACGUCUCCUCGUCAUCAGUGGACUCUUGGCUAAGUGGUGUCGUCAUCAGCAUCUCCCCGCUGUGGGAGUCCAUCCAUCCUAAGUCAGCAGCAGAGCGUGCCUGGGGCGUGAGCAGUUGGAGGGACCGACCAGUGGAGUGUGCGUGUCGGAAGGCAGUCUACCCAGUCGUGACUGAGCACAAAUGUGCAAUUGUCAUUUUCUUAGCAUGUCGACUGUCUGGAUGACACUGAUGCCCUGGGCAGUAUGCUAAUCUCUUGGUACAUGAGUGGCUACCACACUGGCUACUAUAUGGGUUUCAGACAAAAUAAAAAAGAA
rnacentral:sRNA from 1 species